rnacentral:misc_RNA from 1 species
CGCACAUUGCGCCCCUCGGUAUUCCGGGGGGCAUGCCUGUUCGAGCGUCAUUACACCAAUCAAGCCUCGCUUGGUCUUGGGCGCCGCGGUCCGCCGCGCGCCCCAAUGUCUCCGGCUGAGCCGUCCGUCUCGAAGCGUUGUGAUCAAUCAAAUCGCUUGCGGGUGCGGGCCGGCUUGUUCGCCGUUAAACCCCCCUCUUUUAUCAGGUUGACCUCGGAUCAGGUAGGGAUACCCGCUGAACUUAA